rnacentral:lncRNA from 1 species
AGCCUUGUCGGUCUCGAGCACGACCUUCUCAGUGACAAGGGUGGCGAUGGUGGACUCGGCUUCCUUAAGCUUGGACCCCUGAUCAUUGGCACGCCUCUCGUUCGCUGCGAGAGCCUCCGCCAAAUUUGCGAUCUGUUGGCGCAGGAAGGCAUUCUCGGCUUCAAGCUGGAUGGCCCUACCCGUGGUCUCGACCAGCUCGGCGUCAAGAGCGGUGACGGUGUCCCCCAUCAACAUCAACGUCUUGAUGGUUUAUUGGACUUGCAGGGCGCGCCCUCUCUUG